rnacentral:rRNA from 1 species
CCUACGUGAGGCAGCAGUGAGGAAUAUUGGUCAAUGGCCGGAAGGCUGAACCAGCCAUGCCGCGUGAAGGUCAGUGCCCUAUGGGCGUUAAACUUCUUUUGUGCGGGAGCAAUAAUGGUCACGUGUGGCCAGACGAGAGUACCGUACGAAUAAGCAUCGGCUAACUCCGUGCCAGCAGCCGCGGUAAUACGGGGGAUGCAAGCGUUUUCCGGAUUUUUUGGGUUUAAAGGGUGCGUAGGGUGGGAGGUAAGUUAGCGGGUAAAUGCCCCCGCUCAACGGGGGGAAGUGCCAUUGAUACUGCCUGGAUGGAAUGCGGAUGCCGUGGGAGGAAUGUGUGGUGUAGCGGUGAAAUGCAUAGAUAUCACACAGAACACCGAUUGCGAAGGCAUCUCACGAAUCCGCGAUUGACGCUGAUGCACGAAAGCGUGGGUAUCAAACAGGAUUAGAUACCCCUGUAGUC